rnacentral:rRNA from 1 species
UACAGAGGUCUCAAGCGUUGUUCGGAUUCAUUGGGCGUAAAGGGUGCGUAGGCGGCGCGGUAAGUCGGGUGUGAAAUCUCGGGGCUUAACUCCGAAACUGCAUUCGAUACUGCCGUGCUUGAGGACUGGAGAGGAGACUGGAAUUUACGGUGUAGCGGUGAAAUGCGUAGAUAUCAGGAGGAACACCGGUGGCGAAGGCGGGUCUCUGGGCAAUAACUGACGCUGAGGAGCGAAAGCGUGGGGAGCGAACAGG